GACAAAUGGUGUGCAUACCCCACCUCACGU
rnacentral:piRNA from 1 species